CGAACGCUGGCGGCGUGCCUACUACAUGCACGUCGAGCGAAGUUUUUCUGGUGCUUGCACCGGAAAAACUUAGCGGCGAACGGGUGAGUAACACGUAAAGAACCUGCCUCAUAGACUGGGACAACUAUUGGAAACGAUAGCUAAUACCGGAUAAUAGCAUUAACUGCAUGGUUGAUGUUUAAAAGUUGGUUUUGCUAACACUAUGAGAUGGCUUUGCGGUGCAUUAGCUAGUUGGUGGGGUAAAGGCCUACCAAGGCGACGAUGCAUAGCCGACCUGAGAGGGUGAUCGGCCACACUGGGACUGAGACACGGCCCAGACUCCUACGGGAGGCAGCAGUAGGGAAUCUUCCGCAAUGGGCGAAAGCCUGACGGAGCAACGCCGCGUGAGUGAAGAAGGAUUUCGGUUCGUAAAGCUCUGUUGUUAGGGAAGAAUGAUUGUGUAGUAACUAUACACAGUAGAGACGGUACCUAACCAGAAAGCCACGGCUAACUACGUG
rnacentral:rRNA from 1 species